CUGCGCUGCAACGGCCUGCGGGCUCCCCAUCCGACCCGUCUUGAAACACGGACCAAGGAGUCUGACAUGCGUGCGAGUCGAUGGGUUCUGAAACCUGGGAUGCGCAAGGAAGCUGACGAGCGGGAGGCCCUCACGGGCCGCACCGCUGGCCGACCCUGAUCUUCUGUGAAGGGUUCGAGUUGGAGCACGCCUGUCGGGACCCGAAAGAUGGUGAACUAUGCCUGAGCGGGGCGAAGCCAGAGGAAACUCUGGUAGAGGCUCGAAGCGAUACUGACGUGCAAAUCGUUCGUCUGACUUGGGUAUAGGGGCGAAAGACUAAUCGAACCAUCUAGUAGCUGGUUCCCUCCGAAGUUUCCCUCAGGAUAGCUGGAGCCCAUUACGAGUUCUAUCAGGUAAAGCCAAUGAUUAGAGGCAUUGGGGACGCAACGUCCUCGACCUAUUCUCAAACUUUAAAUAGGUAGGAUGGCGCGGCUGCUUCGGUGAGCCGUGCCAUGGAAUCGGGUGCUCCAAGUGGGCCAUUUUUGGUAAGCAGAACUGGCGAUGCGGGAUGAACCGGAAGCCGGGUUACGGUGCCCAACU
rnacentral:rRNA from 1 species